CAGGCUAGGGGACAUGACUGGAU
rnacentral:miRNA from 1 species